rnacentral:rRNA from 1 species
UGGGGGAUAUUGCACAAUGGGCGCAAGCCUGAUGCAGCGACGCCGCGUGGGGGAUGAAGGCCUUCGGGUUGUAAACUUCUUUUGCUCUGAACAAGGCGCAUUUUGGGGUGUGUUGAGUGUAGGGGUUGAUUAGCGCCGGCUAACUACGUGCCAGCAGCCGCGGUAAUACGUAGGGCGCGAGCGUUGUCCGGAAUUAUUGGGCGUAAAGGGCUUGUAGGUGGCUGGUUGCGUCUGUCGUGAAAGCUCAUGGCUUAACUGUGGGUUUGCGGUGGGUACGGGCUGGCUUGAGUGCAGUAGGGGAGGCUGGAAUUCCUGGUGUAGCGGUGGAAUGCGCAGAUAUCAGGAGGAAUACCGGUGGCGAAGGCGGGUCUCUGGGCUGUUACUGACACUGAGGAGCGAAAGCAUGGGGAGCGAACAGG